rnacentral:rRNA from 1 species
AACGAACGCUGGCGGCAUGCCUAACACAUGCAAGUCGAACGAGACCUUCGGGUCUAGUGGCGCACGGGUGCGUAACGCGUGGUAACCUGCCCUUAGGUUCGGAAUAACUCCCCGAAAGGGGUGCUAAUACCGGAUAAUGUCUUCGGACCUAAGAUUUGUCGCCUUUGGAUGGGCCCGCGUUGGAUUAGCUAGUUGGUAGGGUAAAAGCAUGCCAAGGCGACGAUCCAUAGCUGGUCUGAGAGGAUGAUCAGCCACACUGGGACUGAGACACGGCCCAGACUGGUACGGGAGGGAGGAGAGGGGAAUAUUGGAGAAGGGGCGAAAGCCAGAAACAGCAAUGGCGGGAGAGUGAUGAAGGGGUUAGGGUUGUAAAGCAGUAUUAACCGGGAUGAUAAUGACAGUACCGGGAGAAGAAGCACCGGCUAACUACGUG